AUUGAACGCUGGCGGCAGGCCUAACACAUGCAAGUCGAACGAGUGGCGGAUGGGUGAGUAAUGUCUGGGAAACUGCCUGUAGGAGGGGGAUAACUACUGGAAACGGUAGCUAAUACAGCAUACCAUCGGAUGUGCCCAGAUGGGAUUAGCGAGUAGGUGGGGUAAAGGCUCACCUAGGCGCCGAUCCCUAGCGGGUCUGAGAGGCUGACCAGCCACACUGGAACUGAUACACGGUCCAGACUCCUACGGGAGGCAGCAGUGGGGAAUAUUGCACAAUGGACGCAAGCCUGAUGCAGCCCUGCCGCGUGUAUGAAGAAGGCCUUCGGGUUGUAAAGUACUUUCAGCGGGGAGGCGUUACCCGCAGAAGAAGCACCGGCUAACUCCGUGCCAGCAGCCGCGGUAAUUC
rnacentral:rRNA from 1 species